rnacentral:lncRNA from 1 species
AUUUAUGUAAAGAAACCAAUAAACAUCAAUGUCCAUGACGAAAAAUAUUACAUAAUACCGAAAUAGAUCGAUAAGGAAAUUGAUAAAAAAAAAAUAGGUAUGCGAACCCGAGUUGCGUAACAUUGCAUUGAUUUUUUCCAUUGACCCGGGAUCGUCGAUUAGGUUUUAUCCAUUAUUCACCGGAAGUAUCAUUUCUUUAGUUUUUGUAUCGACAGUCAGAUUGAUAAAUAUUAAAUAUUAAAGACACUGGUCAAGCAAGACAAAAAGAGUUAUGAGUCGAGUAGAAAACCUAAAACGCAGAUGGAGAAGAACACGUAUUUUAAAAAAGAUUCGGAAGCGAGAAUUUCAGAC